rnacentral:tRNA from 1 species
AGGGAUGUGGCUCAGUGGUAGAGUGCUUACCUAGCAUGUGUGAGGCACUGGGUUCAAUUCUCAGCACCACAA